ensembl:snRNA U6 U6 spliceosomal RNA
AUGCUUGCUUUGGCAGCACGUAUACUAAUAUUAGAAUGACACAGAGAAGAUUAGCAUGGCCCCUGCACAAGGAUGGGCAUGCAAAUUUGUGAAGCAUUGCAUAUUUUU